AUGCUUGCCCACGGUACCUUAGUGGUGCUGAGUGUCCUGGGUACCCCUGAAGCAGCUGGGGUGGCACUGGAGCUGCCAUCCCACGCUAUCACAGUAGUGUCACUGCUGGCUGGUGAUGCUGUCCCCAGCCCUGCUUCACUAAUUGGAGUUUUGCUAAUGAGGGCAGCUGGCUGGGUCCCGGUGCCAUACCCUUGGAGGGAAGACGUCGGCUUUGCUCCAUCCGUGAGGGACAAGGACGUGCCCACGCUGGGGCUGGCCGGAGGGGAUCUGUCCCCAUCCGCCUGUGCCGUGGUGGUCCUGGGGACUGCAGAGGAGGACCCAGGGGAGAGGCCACCACCAGGGAGUGACACAGCAGGGGCCGUGCUGGGGACCUGCCCCGCGUCCAGCUGCAUGGGGGUGGCCUCGCUGUGCAGGGCGGCAGUGCCCGUUGUGGCUCCAGCACCAGCGGCCACCAGCUCAGCAUUUCCCAGGGCUGGAAGCGGCGCGGUGGGGCCGUGCGCUGUGGCGGUGACAUCCAGGGCCACGGCUGGUGGUCCCAGGGACGGUGUGGUGGCACGGGGACGGGUGGCAGGGUUGGAUCCAAGCAGCCCAGCUCCAGCAGUGCCAGGGGCUGGUGUCCCUGGCUCCGCAGCCUCGCUGACAGCAGCAGUGGCAGGAGGAAAGGUGACCGCUGCUGAGGAUGCUUCUGGGGGGACUGCAGGCAGUGGGGUCCUGGAUCCUUCUGUGGCUGCAUGGAGAGGAGCCCCGGUGGCUGCUGACAUGGUGGGGUCGGUGACACAGCCAGCCAGGGCUGCUGGUGGCUCCACGGAGUGGCCCGUGUCCCCGGGGGAGGCCGGCGAGAUGCUGGCUGCAGUGGCAGGAGGAGAGGUGGCCGUGUCCAGCUCUGGUGUGGCCUUUUGGGACGGGAGCGCGGUGGUUGCGUAUGGCUCAGUGGGACUCUUGCUGAUGGCAGGGGGUGCUGUCCCUGUGCUGUGUUCGACACGGGAUGGCACGGUGGUCCACGCUGUCCCCAGCGUCCCCUCUGCGGUGACAGCGCUGUAG
rnacentral:lncRNA from 1 species